AAAAAAAAGAAAAAGAAAAGAAAAAGAAAAGAAAAAAAAUAAAGAAUAAAAGUAUAUAUUUAUAUAAGAUUAAUAGAACAAAAGAAUUCAUAAGUUAACUGAUACGGAGGAGGAUUUAGAUUUACUCUGUCGAAGAUAAUGUUUUAUACUUAUUAUAAGUAAAAUAUGAGGAGAACCAACCAGCUUUUUAUUUGAUUACGUAUGCUUCUACGUAUAUUAGAUAAAUUUGAUUAAAAGAUUAAAUUAAAAAGGAUUAAAAAAUAAGAUUGAGAAUAAGUAUGAAGUUACCAAUUCUAUAUGAGAAUAGUUAAAAUAUACGAUAAUUGUACUUAUUCCAACAAGUUAUUCUGCCACAAUAACUGUUGUCUUUAUUAUUUCUUACAGUACUAAAAGGAACAAGAAAAAUUUCUUCAUUAAAGAUUGCCAGGCGGCUAUAUAUAGCCCUUUAGUAUCCUGGCCGGUAUAUUAUAUGGGUGGUCUCCCCUGAUCCACUCUCGUUCGGUGGGGGGGGGUAACCCUUUAAUAUAGACAUAUUGUAAAUCAAAAGAUUAUACAGAUUUAAAAACAUUUGGUAACUUCAGAAAAAAAAAAGAGAAAAAAAAUGAAUAAAUUAAAUGCAACAAGUACUAUGUAAAAAUUAAAUUAUUUGAUGCAACAAGAUUUAUUUCACCGGGGAGUUUAGAUCAAAUUUAUGAUAGAUGCCAGAGAGAAAGUUGCCAGACUUAUUUAGUGAGAAAUCAGUCGGAAUUUUCCGUUAGAUUUACCUCCCUUGGUCCACUACUGCUUCUAGUGGAGAGAGGGCUUGGUAUUUGGUAUAUUACCAGUGAUCAUAUGUUAUUAUCAAAUAACACUUAGGUAUUUGGAUUAAAAAGCAAAAAUAGUUUACAUACUGAUUCAAGGAUUUGUUAGUGGUUAGUUUUUCGAAAAAGAAUCCUCGAACGGUUGAAUUAUCAACGGCUUUCUUAGGGAAAACUGAUGAUGUACAUACGUGUGUAAAUAAACUAUAAAGCCCCGUAAAAGAAAAAAGAAAUUCUUUAACAUCAAGUUACCGCCUCUCCAUACAAGAGUGUGAUUUAAGUAAUUGUUGGAUAAAAUAUACAGUAGGUUAUGGUAAUGUGGAUUUUCCUUUAUUGGAACUGGAAUAAUGUAUACGUGUGUAUAAACUUCGUGUACCGUAUUCGGUAUGAUCAUCAUUGUGUCAAACUUAUAUUUAUAACCCUUGUUGAAAUGGUUAAACACUCUCACUUUUUCCAUUGGUCAUAUACAUCAAAUUACAGUUAAAACAAUGACAACAAUACACGUGUUGAUACAUACAUGUUAAUAUGUUUGUAUGGUUAUUAUCUUUUUUUUUAAUGUGCGCGCAACAGUUGUGUACAUUAUACUCGCACAAUCGGUAAGAUUAUUUCAUGUGUGUUAGCUGUGUUUAUUUGACGUAAAAUGGCUUCCUAGUGCGCUAUUUUAGUUUACACUGCACUAGCAUCAUCGGCGGCCACGUGGUAUCAGAUGUGUGACACGUGUGUACAUUACACACACAUCAUUUAUUUAUGCCGGUAUCCAAAAAGAACAACAAAGAAAAUGCCGGUAUCCAAAAAGCAUAACAAAGAAAACAAGAAUUGCCAUAUUGAAAUCAUAGUAUUGAAAGAAAUAAAAGCUGAGUGUUCAUGUACAUGUAUAUCUUUUAAUGUUGUUUACAUAAAAUAACGUGAUACAUGCUAAAAAGAUAACAAUAAAAACAUUUUGACUGCUGAAAAUCUUUAAUAUUCUUUAUUAUUUUAAUGGAAAAGAAGGGUACGAGUUAGCCACACUUGGUUACGAGUUAGCCAUACUUGGGUACGAGUUCGCCAGUUUAUGUGGGUACGACUUCGCCAAUAUUUGGGUACGGGUUGGUGGGUACGACUUGGAAUGGGUACGAGUUGACUAUCUCCCCAAAUGACAUGGCUGUCAAGGUAAGACUGAGUUACCUGACAGCAAUUUACGGACAAGUGAUUUCCAAGUGUAUGCUUUCCAUCUCCUUUGAUCACCGAAGAGUGUCCUAGGUUCGGUUAAAACCUUGAGUAAGGACGUUAAGCCUCACCAAUCAAUCAACCAAUCAAUCAAUUAAUCAAUCAAUCAUGGUCACCGAAGCCAAUGUAACCAGUCUGAAAAAUGUCUCAUUGCAACAUGACCAUAAACCAGAAAUAUUUGUACCACUUUGUAUAGAUACUGCGUCUACUCGGAACGUAAAAGGAAACGGUUUAAAAAAAAAUUACUCUCCCACCCGUCCUAUUCCCCACCUUAAUUCAAUCAUUUACAUUGGUUCACACAAAUAAACAUACAUAACUUAAUCUGGACUAACAAUUUAACAGUUUUUUUUUUUAUUAAUCAUGAGUGCAAAGGUAAGUGAAACACUUCAAAGAUUGAAAAUAUUCAUUAUCAGUUAUAUCAAGUGAAAUAUAGCGGCGUUAUCAGGUGUCAAUAUGUACUUAAUUUCCUUAACGUGCACACUCUUUUGAUUAUAUAGACCAACAGGCCGAUCACAUCUCUAGGGAAGCUCCUUGCGGACAAGGAUGAUCCUCGAGUUCAGCCAGUCCAUAGCGAUACAUCAGUGUCUCAGCUUACUAUGAUGGCGAUUUACUUGAAACAUCGGAACAAGUAUGGAUGUAGUGCUGAGGACAUGAACGAACUUAUCGCCCUCCACAGAAGCACGGCAUGUCCUGGUAGCAAUAUUCCAGCCGACAUCGCUGAAAUGGAGAGGCUUACUGAUGACCUGCUUGUGAAACACAAGGAACAUUUGAUUCGCAAAUGUGAAAAGUUUCGUUUUCACAUGGAGAGAUCAUGUCGU